AAAGCGACAAAAAACACACUUUUCACUUUUUUUUUUUUUUUUUUUUUUUUUUUUUUUUUUUUUUUUUUUUUUUUUUUUUUUUUUUUUUUUUUUUUUUUUUUUAAAAGAGGGGGUGUGGGGGCAAAUUUCGGAGUAAUAGGGGACGGAAGUGACGGGAAAAAAACCAAUUUCUGCAAAAAGCAGUUUAUUACGAAAUUAAAAAAGUGAGGGGGGUGAGGGGUACCUCGUUUUAAAGAGUAAAACGAGGCG
rnacentral:misc_RNA from 1 species